UACGUAGGUGGCAAGCGUUGUCCGGAUUUACUGGGCGUAAAGAGCGCGCAGGCGGUCGAAUAAGUCGAAUGUGAAAGCCCCCGGCUCAACUGGGGAGGGUCAUUCGAUACUGCUCGACUUGAAGGCAGGAGAGGGUAGUGGAAUUCCCGGUGUAGUGGUGAAAUGCGUAGAGAUCAGGAGGAACACCGGUGGCGAAGGCGGCCCACUGGGCAGUCACUGACGCUGAGGCGCGAAAGCUCGGGGAGCGAACGGG
rnacentral:rRNA from 1 species